rnacentral:rRNA from 1 species
CAGGCAGGCGGUCUGUUAAGUCUUCUGUGAAACCCGGGGCUCAACUCCGGGAGCGCAGAAGAUACUGGCAGACUAGAGACUGGUAGAGGCAAGCGGAAUUCCUGGUGUAGCGGUGGAAUGCGUAGAUAUCAGGAAGAACACCUGUGGCGAAGGCGGCUUGCUGGGCCAGUUCUGACGCUCAUCUGCGAAAGCGUGGGGAGCAAACA